AUUGAACGCUGGCGGCAUGCCUUACACAUGCAAGUCGAACGGCAGCAUGAUCUAGCUUGCUAGAUUGAUGGCGAGUGGCGAACGGGUGAGUAAUACAUCGGAACGUGCCCUGUAGUGGGGGAUAACUAGUCGAAAGAUCAGCUAAUACCGCAUACGACCUGAGGGUGAAAGGGGGGGACCGCAAGGCCUCAUGCUAUAGGAGCGGCCGAUGUCUGAUUAGCUAGUUGGUGAGGUAAAGGCUCACCAAGGCGACGAUCAGUAGCUGGUCUGAGAGGACGAUCAGCCACACUGGGACUGAGACACGGCCCAGACUCCUACGGGAGGCAGCAGUGGGGAAUUUUGGACAAUGGGGACAACCCUGAUCCAGCAAUGCCGCGUGUGUGAAGAAGGCCUUCGGGUUGUAAAGCACUUUUGUCCGGAAAGAAAUCGCACUUACUAAUAUUAGGUGUGGAUGACGGUACCGGAAGAAUAAGGACCGGCUAACUACGUGCCAGCAGCCGCCGUAAAAC
rnacentral:rRNA from 1 species